rnacentral:piRNA from 1 species
UCACAAAGUAUUCACACCGUUCAACAGGU